CUGGAAGCUUUAACGGUUGAUGGGCAGCAGGUGCUGGUUCUGUCUGCUGCACUGCAGCUGGGCGCUGUGGGCAUUUGCAGUGUUUAGCCCCCUGCUCUUCCAGCUAUGGUGCAAUCGUGCUGUUUUAUUUGCUUUCUUUUUUCCCAUCGUUGUGAAUUCUGUGCAUUUCUCCUUAGUAAAUGUGGUGGCUUACACCUUUAGGAAACCGGUGCUGUGAGGAGAUGGCUGCUGCGAAGUUUGCCUGAGGAAAAGGCUGCAUUCGUUCUCCUGGGAAGAUUGUUUGCUGAAGGCUCCCUGAGCAUACAUUCUGAAAGCAAGGAACCUUGGUGAGAAGUGUGCCACUGGAACCUACCUAUGCAGGUAGGGGGAGCCAGCCAGACAAGUGACAGUGCAAGAGGGGCUUCCCAUGCGCCGUUUUAGUGGGCAAUGCUUGCUGCAGAUGAGGAAGUCAUGGAGUCGACAUCAUGAACCCAGGAAGUGGAGAACUGAUGGAGGAAUACAGCAGGUAAACGCAUGCGCAGCCCCAAGUUCAGCAGGAGGCAUGAACAAGAAAGACUGUUCUUGAAGAACGGGCUGGGGUUGGCAAGGCAAAAUUCCAUCUUAUAAGAAAACCAUGCUGGCUAUUCCCAAAUGAUUUCCAGCCUGUCUUGUCUGAUUUUGUCUGGGAAAUGAGGUAGAUCUACUUCUGAAUGUUCACAGGAAAUCUUAGAAAUUCAGUGGAAAGUUGCUUAUACAAGAGAAGAUAUGGCUAUGCCACUGAUAUUUUUUAAUAGUCAUGCAUUCUCAGUACUUUGCACUCACAUAUUUUCCUUGUUCACCUAAUUAUGAUUAUUUACAAGAUAUAUUAUCCCUAACAAUCUUGACAUUACUAGUGAAAAUAGCACUGUGUUUAGUCGUUAACUCUGGAUUCUCCUUAUCUCAUAUUCUCAUAUUGAUGUCCGUUAUUGUUUGCUGCUCUGAAAAUGUACUUUCCUUUGCUAGAUGGUUUAAAACAAGCAGGUAAUGUUCUCUUGAGUUGAAUGGAUGGCAAAGGAAGACGAAAGGAUUUACAUAAUGGUUCAACAAGAGCACUUAAUAAAUAAUUUAUAAUCAUCAAAUGCCAGCCUUAUCUGAAACUUGACAGGUCUUUCUUUUAUGAUUCAGUAGUGUCUGUGACGACCUGGCCGUCUCUUAAUGUUAUAAAUGCAUUCUGGUGUCAUUCAGCCACAGUUCCUUUAUAAAAUGUCAGAAGUGUCAGUUUGAUGUUGCUACUGAUAUCCAUGAACUAUGUGUUAGUAAAUGAAUUUCUCUCAGGAAAAUACUAAUGAGCAUUAAAAUACUUUCUC
rnacentral:lncRNA from 7 species